GACGAACGCUGGCGGCGUGCUUAACACAUGCAAGUCGAACGAAGAGCGAUGGAAGCUUGCUUCUAUCAAUCUUAGUGGCGAACGGGUGAGUAACGCGUAAUCAACCUGCCCUUCAGAGGGGGACAACAGUUGGAAACGACUGCUAAUACCGCAUACGAUCUAAUCUCGGCAUCGAGGAUAGAUGAAAGGUGGCCUCUACAUGUAAGCUAUCACUGAAGGAGGGGAUUGCGUCUGAUUAGCUAGUUGGAGGGGUAAUGGCCCACCAAGGCGAUGAUCAGUAGCCGGUCUGAGAGGAUGAACGGCCACAUUGGGACUGAGACACGGCCCAGACUCCUACGGGAGGCAGCAGUGGGGAAUCUUCCGCAAUAGACGAAAGUCUGACGGAGCAACGCCGCGUGAGCGAUGACGGCCUUCGGGUUGUAAAGCUCUGUUAAUCGGGACGAAAGGCCUUCUUGCGAAUAGUGAGAAGGAUUGACGGUACCGGAAUAGAAAGCCACGGCUAACUACGUG
rnacentral:rRNA from 1 species